rnacentral:rRNA from 1 species
AUUGAACGCUGGCGGCAUGCCUUACACAUGCAAGUCGAACGGCAGCACGGGAGCUUGCUCCUGGUGGCGAGUGGCGAACGGGUGAGUAAUAUAUCGGAACGUGCCCAGUCGGUGGGGGAUAACGUAGCGAAAGUUACGCUAAUACCGCAUACGAUCUAAGGAUGAAAGCGGGGGAUCGCAAGACCUCGCGCGAUUGGAGCGGCCGAUAUCAGAUUAGGUAGUUGGUGAGGUAAAGGCUCACCAAGCCGACGAUCUGUAGCUGGUCUGAGAGGACGACCAGCCACACUGGGACUGAGACACGGCCCAGACUCCUACGGGAGGCAGCAGUGGGGAAUUUUGGACAAUGGGCGCAAGCCUGAUCCAGCAAUGCCGCGUGCAGGAUGAAGGCCUUCGGGUUGUAAACUGCUUUGUACGGAACGAAACGGUGAGCUCUAAUACAGUUUGCUAAUGACGGUACCGUAAGAAUAAGCACCGGCUAACUACGUG